GUGGGUACAGCUCAGUGGUAGAGCACAUGCUUACCACGCCUGAGGUCCUGGGUUCCAUCCCCAGUACUGCCA
rnacentral:tRNA from 1 species